AAUGAACGCUGGCGGCAGGCCUAACACAUGCAAGUCGAACGGGUCCUUCGGGACUAGUGGCGGACGGGUGAGUAACGCGUGGGAACGUGCCCUUUGCUACGGAAUAGCCUCUGGAAACGGAGAGUAAUACCGUAUGUGCCCUUUGGGGGAAAGAUUUAUCGGCAAAGGAUCGGCCCGCGUUGGAUUAGGUAGUUGGUGGGGUAAUGGCCUACCAAGCCGACGAUCCAUAGCUGGUUUGAGAGGAUGAUCGGCCACACUGGGACUGAGACACGGCCCAGACUCCUACGGGAGGCAGCAGUGGGGAAUCUUAGACAAUGGGGGAAACCCUGAUCUAGCCAUGCCGCGUGAUCGAUGAAGGCCUUAGGGUUGUAAAGAUCUUUCAGGUGGGAAGAUAAUGACGGUACCACCAGAAGAAGCCCCGGCUAACUCCGUGCCAGCCGCCGCUGUAACAC
rnacentral:rRNA from 1 species